GGCAGCUGUCAAAAUCAUUCAAUCUGAUAUCUGCUGCGACGAAAAAUUAUUGCAAAAAAAAAAACAAAAAAUAGAAAAGACAAAAAUUAAAAAAUACUAAAGAGAAGAAAUAUUUUGGAUAAAAAUGCCUUACCAGCACGGAUGCUACAGGGACUUCAAUCUUGGAACGUUUGCAAGAUGUCCAGGGGGCUGCGAUCCACCUAUGGCGAGGUGCUGCUGCCAGCCCUGCGUACAAGGUUGCUGCUGCUGCCCAACAGGGCCGUGUUGUAACUGCCACGGCUGCUACUGCUGAUGAAAGUAACGUGAAGUCUUCCUUGUGCUGUAAUGUAAUAAACCGUUGACAAAA